GCCUGGAAGACGCACAGGAACUAAAACACAAAGCCUCAUCACCCGGGAUUUAGUCUCGUUUCUGUCCUGGUGAGACGGCUUUUUUUAAGCCUUUUGCUCUCCCUGGAUGUUCUGCAUCUUACUGAUGUACUCAAGGACACCGGGUCCGGGAAGUCACAAACACCACAGGAAGAAAGAUGAAAAGAGAAGCACAGCCUGAGAGGAUUGGGGUCUGGAUUCAGCUUGGGAAGGCUUCCUCUGGCUUGUCGUAAGGUGAAGUUAGAAAGCAAAAAGAAACCUGAGGCUGGAAGAGACCCUGGAGGACAACAAUGAGUGUUUGUCGGCGGCUGGGAGGCAGGUACGAUGCUCACUGCGAUGGGGACGGCCGCCAAGCACUGGGCAGACCCCGCGCGCUGCCCCCGGCAGCACCGGCACGCACGGCCGCAGGCUGCUCCACCGCCAGCACCACUGGAACGCCAGGGAGGACUCCUUCCCUCUUGCUUUUGGGAGAGCAGAAGCUUACGGCGCUGGCGGUACCGCGGGUGCUCCCGGGUGGGGAAGGGGUAUUUAUGCAGGUUUCUGAGGAGCGCUGAGACCCGUCCCUGGGGAGCGGGGGCGAGGGGAUGAGUGCCACGGUCCCUGCCCUGUCCUGUGGGGGCAAGGCAAUAAAGUGGCAGAAAAAAAUGACAGGAAUUUCCUCUUUUACUUUUCCCACCCCUUAAUAAGUCAGGCCUGUCAGAUGCCACUGGCUGUGAGCUUGACUCAUCUGUAACACUGCCUUUGGGGAUCCUCUG